GACGAACGCUGGCGGCGUGCCUAAUACAUGCAAGUAGAACGCUGAAGGAGGAGCUUGCUCUUCUGGAUGAGUUGCGAACGGGUGAGUAACGCGUAGGUAACCUGCCUGGUAGCGGGGGAUAACUAUUGGAAACGAUAGCUAAUACCGCAUAAGAGUAGAUGUUGCAUGACAUUUGCUUAAAAGGUGCAAUUGCAUCACUACCAGAUGGACCUGCGUUGUAUUAGCUAGUUGGUGGGGUAACGGCUCACCAAGGCGACGAUACAUAGCCGACCUGAGAGGGUGAUCGGCCACACUGGGACUGAGACACGGCCCAGACUCCUACGGGAGGCAGCAGUAGGGAAUCUUCGGCAAUGGACGGAAGUCUGACCGAGCAACGCCGCGUGAGUGAAGAAGGUUUUCGGAUCGUAAAGCUCUGUUGUAAGAGAAGAACGAGUGUGAGAGUGGAAAGUUCACACUGUGACGGUAUCUUACCAGAAAGGGACGGCUAACUACGUGCCAGCAGCCGCGGUAAUACGUAGGUCCCGAGCGUUGUCCGGAUUUAUUGGGCGUAAAGCGAGCGCAGGCGGUUAGAUAAGUCUGAAGUUAAAGGCUGUGGCUUAACCAUAGUACGCUUUGGAAACUGUUUAACUUGAGUGCAAGAGGGGAGAGUGGAAUUCCAUGUGUAGCGGUGAAAUGCGUAGAUAUAUGGAGGAACACCGGUGGUGAAAGCGGCUCUCUGGCUUGUAACUGACGCUGAGGCUCGAAAGCGUGGGGAGCAAACAGG
rnacentral:rRNA from 1 species